rnacentral:rRNA from 1 species
UACGAAGGGUGCAAGCGUUACUCGGAAUUACUGGGCGUAAAGCGUGCGUAGGCGGUUUGUUAAGUCCGCUGUGAAAGCCCUGGGCUCAACCUGGGAAUUGCAGUGGAUACUGGCAAGCUAGAGUGCGGUAGAGGAUGGUGGAAUUCCCGGUGUAGCGGUGAAAUGCGUAGAGAUCGGGAGGAACACCCGUGGCGAAGGCGGCCAUCUGGACCAGCACUGACGC